rnacentral:rRNA from 1 species
AACGAACGCUGGCGGCAUGCCUAACACAUGCAAGUCGAACGAGACCUUCGGGUCUAGUUGCGCACGGGUGCGUAACGCGUGGGAACCUUCCCUUAGGUUCGGAAUAACUCCCCGAAAGGGGUGCUAAUACCGGAUAAUGUCUUCGGACCAAAGAUUUAUCGCCUUUGGAUGGGCCCGCGUUGGAUUAGCUAGUUGGUAGGGUAAAAGCCAACCAAGGCGACGAUCCAUAGCUGGUCUGAGAGGAUGAUCCGCAACACUGGGACUGAGACACGGCCCAGACUCCUACGGGAGGCAGCAGUGGGGAAUAUUGGACAAUGGGCGAAAGACUGAUCCAGCAAUGCCGUGUGAGUGAUGAAGGCCUUAGGGUUGUAAAGCUCUUUUACCCGGGAUGAUAAUGACAGUACCGGGAGAAUAAGCUCCGGCUAACUACGUG